AGGAUGAACGCUGGCGGCGUGCUUAACACAUGCAAGUCGAACGAUGAUGCCCACUUGUGGGUGGAUUAGUGGCGAACGGGUGAGUAACACGUGAGUAACCUGCCCUUAACUCUGGGAUAAGCCUGGGAAACUGGGUCUAAUACCGGAUAUGACUCCUCAUCGCAUGGUGGGGGUGAAAGCUUUAUUGUGGUUUUGGAUGGACUCGCGGCCUAUCAGCUUGUUGGUGAGGUAAUGGCUCACCAAGGCGACGACGGUAGCCGGCCUGAGAGGUGACCGGCCACACUGGGACUGAGACACGGCCCAGACUCCUACGGGAGGCAGCAGUGGGGAAUAUUGCACAAUGGCGAAAGCCUGAUGCAGCGACGCGCGUGAGGAUGGACGGCCUUCGGGUUAUAACCUUCUUUCGAGUUAGGAAGAGACGAAGUGACGGUACUGACAGAAGAGCGCGCUAACACGUGCAGCAGCCGC
rnacentral:rRNA from 1 species